UAAAAUUAAAAUCAAAAAGCCAUGUGGAGGUCAAAACAGAUUGGAGUGAAAGGCUGUGGCACUCCUAUAUAUGUGUAUAUGGAAAAUAGAUAUAAGAAUUAAAAGGGUGCCUACAAAAAUGACAAGGUGUAUACAAGCAAUGUAGAAGGGAUAUGCAGACAGAGUGUAUACAUUAUGAAUAAUAAAUACUGUAGCGGACCACGGGUAACUCGACUAGUUACCUCAGCUAAUUCCCUCCCUUCAGCCGGUCAAGACCCAUGUAAAGUACAAAUAAACCCAUUUUCCCCCCAGUAACUGGACACAGUCCCGGAGGUACAAAAUUUUAUUGUCCACCCACACAAGGUUUUUAUGCAUAACACUCUGUAAGGGGUGAAUCACACAAACAGACACUGUCACAUCCCAAGAUCCUCCCCCUCUCUGGGACCCUAGUGCAGGAACGACCCCAGAGCCCGCCACUGUGAACACAGGGUUUCCCACUCCAGUGGGUCUUCUUCUCAGGAGCCUCUGUGCCUGUGAGUCCAGGCACGGGUAAUUGGGACCGUCCCUUUGUCUGCAAGGCACAGAAAAGCCUGCCCGGGCAUUGUCCUCAUGCUCAUGAGAGCACGCCAAACUCGCCAGUGCCCCAUGAGUGUCCCCACCAACCUCAGGGAAACCGGCAAGGUAAGCAUCUCUUUUCGGAAUACGAAUGCUCCCCCUGGACGGCAUUUGUCAAUAUGAAAAUGCAGCCACCCAGGGGAGCAUUCAUUAAUUACUUCCCUUGAGGUUUCACACUUAUGUUAGGUAGCGGAGGAGCAGGGGUUAAUCCAAGGGCUCUCCGCUGGGAACAAAGAUUCAGCAUACAAAGUCAC